UAUCAGUGAACAUUACUGUGGAGGUCUC
rnacentral:piRNA from 1 species